UUAUGGCCAUAUCACAUUGAAACACCGGUUCUCGUACACGAUCACCGAAGUUAAGCAAUGACGAUCCUGGUCAAUAUCUCGAUGGGUAACCGCUUGGGAAUACCAGGUGCUGUAGG